UACGGAGGAUGCGAGCGUUAUCCGGAUUUAUUGGGUUUAAAGGGUGCGUAGGCGGAUUUUUAAGUCAGCGGUAAAAUGUCCGGGCUCAACCCGGGCCGGCCGUUGAAACUGGGGAUCUUGAGUGGGCGAGAAGUAUGCGGAAUGCGUGGUGUAGCGGUGAAAUGCAUAGAUAUCACGCAGAACUCCGAUUGCGAAGGCAGCAUACCGGCGCCCGACUGACGCUGAGGCACGAAAGUGCGGGGAUCGAACAGG
rnacentral:rRNA from 1 species